ensembl:lncRNA novel transcript
GGAACUACGAGUCCCGGCGAGCACUGCGAAGGCCACGCGCGGCUUUCUUUCUUCUCCAAGCACGGUGGCAGUCUUCUGAUCUCUGCUGCUUUUUUUUCCUCAUAAAAACAUCAGCCAAGUAAUGUGUCCACAGAAAAUAAACUCUUAGCCUAGGCCAGGCAAGAUGGCUCACACUUGUAAUCCCAGCACUUUGGAAGGCCAAGGUGGGAGGAUCACCUGAAGCCAGGAGUUUGAGACCAGCCUGAGCAACGAAGUGAGACCUCCAUCUCUACAAAAAAUAAAACUGAUCAUGGUAAAAUUAGCUGAGCAUGGUAGUACACACCUGUAGUCCCAGCUACAUGAGAGACUGAGACAGGAGGAUCACUUGGGCCCAGGAGGCUGUGGUCAGCUAUCAUCAUGCCACUGCACUCCAGCCUUGGUGACAGAGCAAGACCUUGCCUCUAAAAAAAUAAAACUAUUAGCCUUUCGGUGAGAACAGUUGCUCAGAGAGUUGAGGACAUUGGGAGCAAUAUCAAUAGUUGUGGUGGGCCAAAGAGAAGCCCUCGAAAAUAUAUAUUCAUGUCAAAUUCAUCCACUUCAAAUCCCUGGAAACUGUGAAUGCGACCUUAUUUGGAAAAAGGACCCUUGCAGAUGUAAUUAAGUUAAGGAUCAUGAGAUGAGAUCAUCCUGGAUAACCUCAGUAAGUCCUAAAUCCAAUGACAAGUUUUCUUGUAGGAGACAUAGACAAGAAGAGAAGAUGAUAUGAAAAUGGAGGCAAAGAUUGGAGUGAUGUGGCCACAAGCCAAGGAAACCAGCAACCACCAGAAGCUGAAAGAGGCAAAGAAGAAUUCUGCCUCCCAGCCUCCAGAGGGAGUGUGACCCUGCUAACACCAUGAUUCAGACUUCCGGCCUCCAGAAGAAUGUCUUUUUAAGCCACUACGUUUGUGGUAAUUUGUUAUAGCAGCCCUGGGAAACUAAUACAGUUGUUAAUUAAAAAAACAAGUCAAGU